rnacentral:RNase_P_RNA from 1 species
CGCGCCGGCCGGGCCGCCGCCCCGGGAGCGGUUCUUCGGAAUCGGGUCCCGGGGAGGAACGUCCGGACACCGCAGGGCACCGUGCUUCCUAACAGGAAGGCGCUGACGCUUCGGCGUCGGUGACGGCACGUGCAACAGAAAACAGACCAGCCGAUGGCUGACGGCUCGCGCCGCCGGCACAGGUGAUGGGUGAAACGGUGGGGUAAGAGCCCACCAGCGCGGGCGGCGACGUCCGCGGCUGGGCAAACCCCACGGGGUGCAAGGCCACGCAGCGUCCGCCCCGGCUCCGGCCGGGAAAGGGUGCCCGCCCGAGGACGCGGGUAGGCCGCUCGAGGCCGCCGGCGACGGCGGUCCCAGAUAGAUGGCGGCACAGCGCCGCGGCUCCGACGGCCGCGGCGCGGACAGAAUCCGGCGUACAGGCCGGCGCGCAGU